rnacentral:miRNA from 1 species
CAACCGGAAAGGGGAGCAGCA